GAAGAGAGUACGGGGGAGGAGGUGCGGAUGAGGUUGAGGGGCAGGUGCGGGGAGGGUAGUGCAGUCGUGCCUAGGGUCGCGAGCGAGGGGAGGGGUAUGGGGUGUCCAGGUUCACUUUUAGCUGCUUUUAGGACCUCUUUGGGGGCUAAAAAUUAGCUCCAAAUUUUAGCCUCUUUGUACACUUUUAGCCCACCUGUUUGGAUCCCUAGAGCUAAUUUUUGGGCUAAAAGUGCAGAGCUAAAAAUUAGCCCUUGGAUCCAAACAGGCCCUUACACAGAUUGAUCAAAUAAAAGCUCUACAUAGGCUAUAGGAAUAUAUUCAUGUCAAUUAC
rnacentral:lncRNA from 1 species